UGCAAGCACUACAGGGCCGAUUCUACUCCGGUCGCCCGAUUAUUGCUGAUUUUUCACCUGUCACUGAUUUCCGUGAAGCUACGUGCAGACAGUAUGAGGAAAAUAAUUGCAACCGUGGGGGUUACUGUAAUUUCAUGCACGUGAAGUUGAUUGGUAGAGAUUUGAGGAGGAAACUGUUUGGAAGGUACCGAGGAUACAGAGUUAGUAGGAGCCGAAGCAGAAGCAUGAGGCCAAGGCACAGGAGGGAUAGGGAGAAUGAUAGGCCAGAGAAGGAUUAUCGGGACCGAGACCGCGA
rnacentral:misc_RNA from 1 species